AUUCAUAUGGAUGUAAAUUUGACAUGUACCACCUACCUAAACAUUGGUGCAGACCCAGGUACACCCCUUCAUGACAAUGGUGUUCCCUGGUGGAAGUGGCCUCUUUCAGCAGGAUAAUGCACUCUGCACACAUUGUUCAGGUAUGGUUUGAGGAACAUCUUGAAGAGUUCAAUGUGUUGCCCUGCCCUCCGAAAUCCCCAGAUCUCAAUCCAGUUGAGUAUCUGUGGGAUGUGCUGGACCAACAAGUUCAAUCCACGGCAACUCCACCUCGCAAACUACAGGAUAUGAAGGAUCUAGUGCUAAUGUCUGGGUGCCAGAUACCACGGGACACCUUCAGGGGUCUUGUAGAGUCCAUGCACUAUUUUGGCAGCAUGUAGAGGACCAACAGUAUUUUAGGAUGGUCAUAAUGUUUUGGCUCAUCUGUGUAUGUAUUGAUUAAGUCCUUGACAUUUACAAACUGUAUCUUUGUUUUACAUUCAAUACCAUUAAUAAGUUGAAUGUAAAGAAUUAGACUAUCUGCCUUGCCAUAUUCACAAUAGAUUUGCUUCUACGUUACAGAUUUUUAAAUCUUUGCUUAAAACUCAUUUUUCCAUUGCUUUUAAUGAUUAUUUUUGUAUUUGACUUCUGUUAGUAUUUUGAUUUUCUUUUGUAAUUUAGUUUGAAAAUUGUCUCUGAUUGUAUUUGUGAAAUUAGUUUUCUACUGCUUUUGCUUGUAUUUCUUUUAUCCGAUGUUGUAAAGCACAUUGGUCGGCUGCUGCUGUUUCAAUGGCGUUAUAUAAAUAAACCAAACUUGAAACUUGG